GUCGAACGGCAGCACGGGGGCAACCCUGGUGGCGAGUGGCGAACGGGUGAGUAAUACAUCGGAACGUGUCCUGUAGUGGGGGAUAGCCCGGCGAAAGCCGGAUUAAUACCGCAUACGCUCUACGGAGGAAAGGGGGGGAUCUUAGGACCUCCCGCUACAGGGGCGGCCGAUGGCAGAUUAGCUAGUUGGUGGGGUAAAGGCCUACCAAGGCGACGAUCUGUAGCUGGUCUGAGAGGACGACCAGCCACACUGGGACUGAGACACGGCCCAGACUCCUACGGGAGGCAGCAGUGGGGAAUUUUGGACAAUGGGGGCAACCCUGAUCCAGCAAUGCCGCGUGUGUGAAGAAGGCCUUCGGGUUGUAAAGCACUUUUGUCCGGAAAGAAAACGCCGUGGUUAAUACCCGUGGCGGAUGACGGUACCGGAAGAAUAAGCACCGGCUAACUACGUGCCAGCAGCCGCGGUAAUACGUAGGGUGCAAGCGUUAAUCGGAAUUACUGGGCGUAAAGCGUGCGCAGGCGGUCCGCUAAGACAGAUGUGAAAUCCCCGGGCUUAACCUGGGAACUGCAUUUGUGACUGGCGGGCUAGAGUAUGGCAGAGGGGGGUAGAAUUCCACGUGUAGCAGUGAAAUGCGUAGAGAUGUGGAGGAAUACCGAUGGCGAAGGCAGCCCCCUGGGCCAAUACUGACGCUCAUGCA
rnacentral:rRNA from 1 species